UAACGGCGAGUGAAGCGGGAAGAGCUCAUGUUUGAAAUCCAGCUCUGAACGGUGCUGGAGUUGUAACCUAGAGGUGCGUGUUGCCUGCCGGGGGGGCCGCGGCUAAGUCCGAUUUGAAAAGGGCACCAAGGAGGGUGGCAGUCCCGUUCGUGCCGCAGUCCCGCCGGCGAUGUGGCCCGCUUCCAACGAGUCGAGUUGCUUGGGAUUGCAGCUCAAAGUGGGUGGUAAACUCCAUCCAAAGCUAAACACGUGUGGGAGACCGAUAGCGAACAAGUACCGUGAGGGAAAGAUGCAAAGAACUUUGAAAAGAGAGUCAAAGAGUGCCUGAAAUUGCUGAGAGGGAAGCGAAGGAAAGUAGUGUCGGUCGUGGGGAUCUCGCACACGGGGAGCGGCCCGAUCUUCGGGUCGGGCCCUCUCCGUUAUCCCCCGCACUGUCAGGGGCGGGUGCGCGGAUUGGCCGAGGCGGCGGCCAGAGGUAAAGGUGUUCCGAGGUAACAGCCGGACGAAUGCGGCAAUCAGGAUCCGCGUCUCGGGCGCGGCCGUCCCUGACGAAAUGUUUUUCUUUACCCCGUCUUG
rnacentral:rRNA from 1 species